rnacentral:rRNA from 1 species
UACGGGGGGAGCAAGCGUUGUUCGGAUUUACUGGGCGUAAAGGGCGCGUAGGCGGCGCGGUAAGUCGGGUGUGAAAUCUCGGAGCUUAACUCCGAAACUGCAUUCGAUACUGCCGUGCUUGAGGACUGGAGAGGAGACUGGAAUUUACGGUGUAGCGGUGAAAUGCGUAGAUAUCGUAAGGAAGACCAGUGGCGAAGGCGGGUCUCUGGACAGUAACUGACGCUGAGGAGCGAAAGCGUGGGGAGCGAACAGG